rnacentral:rRNA from 1 species
CCUACGGGAGGCAGCAGUGAGGAAUAUUGGACAAUGGGCGCAAGCCUGAUCCAGCCAUGCCGCGUGCAGGAUGACGGUCCUAUGGAUUGUAAACUGCUUUUGCACAGGAAGAAACAACGCUACGUGUAGCGUCUUGACGGUACUGUGAGAAUAAGGAUCGGCUAACUCCGUGCCAGCAGCCGCGGUAAUACGGAGGAUCCAAGCGUUAUCCGGAAUCAUUGGGUUUAAAGGGUCCGUAGGCGGUUUAGUAAGUCAGUGGUGAAAGCCCAUCGCUCAACGGUGGAACGGCCAUUGAUACUGCUAGACUUGAAUUAUUAGGAAGUAACUAGAAUAUGUAGUGUAGCGGUGAAAUGCUUAGAGAUUACAUGGAAUACCAAUUGCGAAGGCAGGUUACUACUAAUGGAUUGACGCUGAUGGACGAAAGCGUGGGUAGCGAACAGGAUUAGAUACCCUGGUAGUCCACGCCGUAAACGAUGGAUACUAGCUGUUGGGAGCGAUCUCAGUGGCUAAGCGAAAGUGAUAAGAUCCCAACCUGGGGAGUUACGUUCGCAAGAAAGUAGAACGACGAAAGGAAAGUUAGACGGCGUUGAGACGAGCCGACGGACGACGACGAGGGGAGGUAGGAG